GACGAACGCUGGCGGCGUGCCUAAUACAUGCAAGUCGAGCGGACUGAUUAAGAGCUUGCUCUUAUGACGUUAGCGGCGGACGGGUGAGUAACACGUGGGCAACCUGCCCUGUAGAUCGGGAUAACACCGAGAAAUCGGUGCUAAUACCGGGUAAUAUCUGAGAUCACAUGAUCUUAGGUUAAAAGAUGGCUCCGGCUAUCACUACAGGAUGGGCCCGCGGCGCAUUAGCUAGUUGGUAAGGUAAUGGCUUACCAAGGCGACGAUGCGUAGCCGACCUGAGAGGGUGAUCGGCCACACUGGGACUGAGACACGGCCCAGACUCCUACGGGAGGCAGCAGUAGGAAAUCUUCCGCAAUGGACGAAAGUCUGACGGAGCAACGCCGCGUGAGUGAUGAAGGGUUUCGGCUCGUAAAGCUCUGUUGUUAGGGAAGAAACAGUACCGAACGAACUAGGUCGGUACCUUGACGGUACCUAACCAGAAAGCCACGGCUAACUACGUG
rnacentral:rRNA from 1 species